GUGGGGAAUAUUGGACAAUGGGCGAAAGCCUGAUCCAGCCAUGCCGCGUGUGUGAAGAAGGUCUUCGGAUUGUAAAGCACUUUAAGUUGGGAGGAAGGGCAGUAAGUUAAUACCUUGCUGUUUUGACGUUACCGACAGAAUAAGCACCGGCUAACUUCGUGCCAGCAGCCGCGGUAAUACGAAGGGUGCAAGCGUUAAUCGGAAUUACUGGGCGUAAAGCGCGCGUAGGUGGUUCAGCAAGUUGGAGGUGAAAUCCCCGGGCUCAACCUGGGAACUGCCUCCAAAACUACUGAGCUAGAGUACGGUAGAGGGUAGUGGAAUUUCCUGUGUAGCGGUGACAAGCGUAGAUAUAGGAAGGAACACCAGUGGCGAAGGCGACUACCUGGACUGAUACUGACACUGAGGUGCGAAAGCGUGGGGAGCAAACAGGAUUAGAAACCCCUGUAGUCC
rnacentral:rRNA from 1 species